rnacentral:rRNA from 1 species
GCCCGCUCAGAAACUUAAAGGAAUUGACGGGGAGCACUACAACGGGUGGAGCCUGCGGUCUAAUUGGAUUCAACGCCGGAAAUCUCACCGGGGCGGACAGCAAUAUGAAGGUCAGGCUGAAGACCUUACCCGAUUUAGCUGAGAGGUGGUGCAUGGCCGUCGUCAGUUCGUACUGUGAAGCAUCCUGUUAAGUCAGGCAACGAGCGAGACCCACGUCCACAGUUGCCAGCAUACCCUCCGGGGUGAUGGGUACACUGUGGAGACCGCCGCUGCUAAAGCGGAGGAAGGAGUGGGCAACGGUAGGUCAGUAUGCCCCGAAUCUCCCGGGCCACACGCGGGCUACAAUGGUUGGUACAAUGGGCAUCUACCCCGAAAGGGGAAGGAAAUCUCUUAAAGCCAGUCGUAGUUCGGAUUGAGGGCUGCAACUCGCCCUCAUGAAGCUGGAAUCCGUAGUAAUCGCGUUUCAACAGAACGCGGUGAAUACGUCCCUGCUCCUU